rnacentral:rRNA from 1 species
UACAGAGACUGCAAGCGUUAUUCGGAAUCACUGGGCGUAAAGGGUGCGCAGGCGGUUGUGCAAGACAGGUGUGAAAUCCCCGGGCUUAACCUGGGAACUGCACUUGUGACUGCACGGCUAGAGUACGGUAGAGGGGGAUGGAAUUCCGCGUGUAGCAGUGAAAUGCGUAGAUAUGCGGAGGAACACCGAUGGCGAAGGCAAUCCCCUGGACCUGUACUGACGCUCAUGCACGAAAGCGUGGGGAGCAAACAGG